rnacentral:rRNA from 1 species
UACGUAGGGGGCAAGCGUUGUCCGGAUUUAUUGGGCGUAAAGAGCGUGUAGGCGGCUUUACAGGUCCGUUGUGAAAACUCGAGGCUCAACCUCGAGACGCCGGUGGAAACCGUAAGGCUAGAGUCCGGAAGAGGAGAGUGGAAUUCCUGGUGUAGCGGUGAAAUGCGCAGAUAUCAGGAGGAACACCUGCGGCGAAGGCGGGUUGCUGGGCUGACACUGACGCUGAUGCGCGAAAGCUAGGGGAGCGAACGGG